ACGGGUGAGUAAUACAUCGGAACGUACCCAGAAGUGGGGGAUAACGUAGCGAAAGUUACGCUAAUACCGCAUACGUUCUACGGAAGAAAGCGGGGGAUCUUCGGACCUCGUGCUUUUGGAGCGGCCGAUGUCUGAUUAGCCAGUUGGUGAGGUAAAGGCUCACCAAGGCGACGAUCAGUAGCUGGUCUGAGAGGACGACCAGCCACACUGGGACUGAGACACGGCCCAGACUCCUACGGGAGGCAGCAGUGGGGAAUUUUGGACAAUGGGCGCAAGCCUGAUCCAGCAAUGCCGCGUGAGUGAAGAAGGCCUUCGGGUUGUAAAGCUCUUUUGUCAGGGAAGAAACGGCUGAGGCUAAUACCUUUGACUAAUGACGGUACCUGAAGAAUAAGCACCGGCUAACUACGUGCCAGCAGCCGCGGUAAUACGUAGGGUGCAAGCGUUAAUCGGAAUUACUGGGCGUAAAGCGUGCGCAGGCGGUUUUGUAAGUCUGACGUGAAAUCCCCGGGCUCAACCUGGGAAUUGCGUUGGAGACUGCAAGGCUGGAGUCUGGCAGAGGGGGGUAGAAUUCCACGUGUAGCAGUGA
rnacentral:rRNA from 1 species